ACUGUCUCAUUGAAACACAUUGCUCAUUUAUUCCUCUUCGUCAUCCUUUGAGACACAGUCAUUAUUUUCCAGAUGAGGCCUGCUCAAGAGCAUUUGGCUGAUGGGGGCUGAAACCUCUCACUGCAACCAGGUUCAUUUGGCUCCAAGUCCUGUGUGCUCUUUAUGAAGUCAUAGCAAGGCCUGGACUAGGGUGAGAAAGGACAGGUGCCUGUGAGGCAGGACUUAAAGGAGGCGCUGGCCCUCAGGGGCAUGCGAGGGCAGGCCUUCCUCUUUAUAUAGGCUUAGAGAGCCACUACUCGAAGCCAAGCCUUACGUCAGGCAGCAGAGAUACCAAGAUGAGGUUGAAGAAAACACACGGCUUUCUCCACUCAUGGACUCCAAUGAGGAUGGCAACAACAUGGGCUGAGACUUGACCUUGUGACUCCAGCCUAGGAUUAUAUAAGGAUGUGACUGACCUUAGAGGAUUUCACGGGAACUUAGCUGUACACGUGGAACCCAUUUAUUUGCUGACACUUCUCAUUUCCUUUCAGAACAAACCUACAUUCCCAGACCUAUAAUUUUCUUGAGAAAAUGGGUUUAUUAUAAGUCACUCAAUAAAACACCCUACCAUGGCUUCCCA
rnacentral:lncRNA from 10 species